rnacentral:rRNA from 1 species
UGGGUUCAGAACGUCGUGAGACAGUUCGGUCCCUAUCCGUCGCGGGCGCAGGAAAUUUGAGAGGAGCUGUCCUUAGUACGAGAGGACCGGGAUGGACGUUCCGCUGGUGUACCAGUUGUGCCGCCAGGCGCAUCGCUGGGUAGCUAUGAACGGAAGGGAUAAACGCUGAAAGCAUCUAAGUGUGAAGCCCCCCUCGAGAUGAGAUUUCCCAUUCCUAUAUGGAGGUAAGACCCCUGAGAGAUGAUCAGGUAGAUAGGCUGGAAGUGGAAGUGCAGCGAUGCAUGGAGCGGACCAGUACUAAUCGGUCGAGGACUUAACCAAG